UUCUUUCCUGGAAGAAUGUUGUUGCGAUAGACCCUGCAUGAAAAACACCAGGGAAUCUGUAUUUAAGUGACCUUAAUAUUAUGCGUAAACCUAAGUGUGCAUUUGUAGGCGGUGUCGAAAUGGGUCUAUAGCUCUGCCUGAACUGUCGUCCAAUUGGUUUACAAGUCCGGCUGAAGUGACAGGCCAUCAAAAACUGUACAGUGUGACUGAUUCGGAGACGGCCCUCAACACUCGCCCAGUCGUGUCGAGAGGAUCGGUGUCUUUGCAGAUUACACGGAAUUGAGCACCCGGGCCAGACUGACACUUUCCGGAGCCUGCCCUAGACGGAACUCGAGCCGAGGAAUCAUAGGUCCAGGCGGUGUCGAAAUGGGUCUAUAGCUCUGCCUGAACUGUCGUCCAAUUGGUUUACAAGUCCGGCUGAAGUGACAGGCCAUCAAAAACUGUACAGUGUGACUGAUUCGGAGACGGCCCUCAACACUCGCCCAGUCGUGUCGAGAGGAUCGGUGUCUUUGCAGAUUACACGGAAUUGAGCACCCGGGCCAGACUGACACUUUCCGGAGCCUGCCCUAGACGGAACUCGAGCCGAGGAAUCAUAGGUCCAGGCGGUGUCGAAAUGGGUCUAUAGCUCUGCCUGAACUGUCGUCCAAUUGGUUUACAAGUCCGGCUGAAGUGACAGGCCAUCAAAAACUGUACAGUGUGACUGAUUCGGAGACGGCCCUCAACACUCGCCCAGUCGUGUCGAGAGGAUCGGUGUCUUUGCAGAUUACACGGAAUUGAGCACCCGGGCCAGACUGACACUUUCCGGAGCCUGCCCUAGACGGAACUCGAGCCGAGGAAUCAUAGGUCCAGGCGGUGUCGAAAUGGGUCUAUAGCUCUGCCUGAACUGUCGUCCAAUUGGUUUACAAGUCCGGCUGAAGUGACAGGCCAUCAAAAACUGUACAGUGUGACUGAUUCGGAGACGGCCCUCAACACUCGCCCAGUCGUGUCGAGAGGAUCGGUGUCUUUGCAGAUUACACGGAAUUGAGCACCCGGGCCAGACUGACACUUUCCGGAGCCUGCCCGAGACGGAACUCGAGCCGAGGAAUCAUAGGUCCAGGCGGUGUCGAAAUGGGUCUAUAGCUCUGCCUGAACUGUCGUCCAAUUGGUUUACAAGUCCGGCUGAAGUGACAGGCCAUCAAAAACUGUACAGUGUGACUGAUUCGGAGACGGCCCUCAACACUCGCCCAGUCGUGUCGAGAGGAUCGGUGUCUUUGCAGAUUACACGGAAUUGAGCACCCGGGCCAGACUGACACUUUCCGGAGCCUGCCCGAGACGGAACUCGAGCCGAGGAAUCAUAGGUCCAGGCGGUGUCGAAAUGGGUCUAUAGCUCUGCCUGAACUGUCGUCCAAUUGGUUUACAAGUCCGGCUGAAGUGACAGGCCAUCAAAAACUGUACAGUGUGACUGAUUCGGAGACGGCCCUCAACACUCGCCCAGUCGUGUCGAGAGGAUCGGUGUCUUUGCAGAUUACACGGAAUUGAGCACCCGGGCCAGACUGACACUUUCCGGAGCCUGCCCGAGACGGAACUCGAGCCGAGGAAUCAUAGGUCCAGGCGGUGUCGAAAUGGGUCUAUAGCUCUGCCUGAACUGUCGUCCAAUUGGUUUACAAGUCCGGCUGAAGUGACAGGCCAUCAAAAACUGUACAGUGUGACUGAUUCGGAGACGGCCCUCAACACUCGCCCAGUCGUGUCGAGAGGAUCGGUGUCUUUGCAGAUUACACGGAAUUGAGCACCCGGGCCAGACUGACACUUUCCGGAGCCUGCCCGAGACGGAACUCGAGCCGAGGAAUCAUAGGUCCAGGUGUGACAAAAGACUUAAAGCUCAUGUCUGACGAUGACUUUUUUUAGUCAGGAAGUCAAGUGUGUUGUUUUUCCAUGCAAGCGAGCCCUUUUGUUGGGUCAAAUGACAUCAGAAUUGCUGCUUCUACAUGGAUUUAACCUAAAAUGUGCAAAAAAAAUAUAAAAAGUUUGUUCGAAUCCAGUUCAAAACCUGCUUUGAUGCACAAAUAUUGCCAUUGAUGAUUUUUUUCACUUAUUAAGCCAUAUGUAAGAUCAGCUUUGCCUAUUAGAAUCGAAAGACAUGCCUUGUAUGGAGUCUAAGUGCUGCAUGUAUGAUGUAACCGAGUUUGGCUUUUCUACCUUAAUUCUUGACGCGAAACGCUGUUACGCAUGGCGCUUUCAACGGCAACUUUUAUGAAUUAAUCUGUGUGUCAUUGUACCGGAACUUUGUGAUCUUUCUCAAAACAGAUUAUACCUGUGGGAAAAGUGCCUUUAAUUUAAAUUUGAAGGGGUUGGGUUCUCUUAAAGGUCACAUAACCCCAAACCGGAACUCCUGUUUUUAGGGUUACAUGCAGUCAGUUUGAUACUUAGCACACAUUGUUGAGUGCAUGCUGCCUAGGAUUUGUAAAAUACAUUGCAAAUGGUUGGUUUUGGUAUCAACUUGAAGGUAUAUUUGUAAGCAAUAAGAAAAUAAGCCAUUUUUGUGCUCUACUUUUUGUGUUGAUGGUUCCCGGCUUUGAAAGUAGGUCAUACUAUUUGAGCCCAAAAUGGUUGUCUGCACAGCUGUCAAAACCGGUUUGCCUAUUCUAAGGUAAAUAUUUUGAGUUUGCGCGUAUAGAAUUUAAUGACAUGCAUUUUUUUCAAAAGAUUAUGCAUUAAUCUUUCCAAUGAUGUAUGAUGAUAUAGUGGGUAUGCGCUUCAUCAUGGUAAAAAUUGAUAUCGAACUUCAACUAUUUUAUAUGUAAUAUAGAAGGAAAUUAAUUGCGCAUGCGUAACCUACAGUAGCUCCCAGUAGGGUGCUGUUUUCUUACAUCCGGUCUAAAUGUGUUCUCAUGUAAACAAGUAAACACGGAUACAAAAGUGAAAUUUUAUGAUACAGUACCGUUGGAUUGCCAGGCAUGAAUAGGCAAAUCGAACAACGAUUGAAUUGUAAGUCGACUCAUUCAAUUUAUGGAUUAAAAGGAGGCGAAAUUAGGGGAAUGUCAAGUUUGUUAACCUACAAUAUGAAGUAAAUACGAUCUAGGUCACAUCCUCGUCAGCCUAAGAUUCCUGGCGAAAGGCGCAUUUUACUCAGAAUUGGCAGACACACAUGGGAUCAGCAGAUCAAGUGUAUCGAGAACCGUUCAUGCCUUUGUUGAGUCUGUCAACAAUAACUUGGAUAACAUUAGGUUUCCAAUGAACAGAGAAGACAUUGUCAAAGAGAAGAGGGCAUUUUACGACAAAUGUAGAUUUCCAAAUCUUGUUGGAGCAGUGGAUGGGACCUUAAUCCCAAUCACUACUCCAACUGUAGAUGAGGAAGUCUACAUUUGUCGUAAAGGUUAUCACGCCAUCAACUGCCAGGCCAUAGUUAACACCAGUUUGAAGUUUAUUGAUGUUGUUGCGAGAUGGCCGGCGUCUACCCAUGAUGGAGCGGUUUUUGAAAAUUCAAGAAUUAAGGGGCAUCUUGAUGCUACAGCAAAUGUCAUACUCCUGGGUGACAGUGGCUAAGCCCUGAGUCCUUCCCUACUCACCCCCAUAAGGAAUCCCCGUACCCAACAGGAAGAGCGGUACAACCGCAGACACAAGAGGGGUCGGGAAGUUGUUGAACGGGGAUUUGGAAUAUUAAAGUCAAGAUUCAGAUGUCUACAUCGAUCAGGGGGUGUUCUGCCCUAUAAGCCACAUCAGUGUGCGGCCUUGUUUGUUGCGUGCUGCCGCCUGCAUAAUCUUCUGAUGGAAAAUGGGGAUGAACAAGAAGUCGAUGCUGAUGUACGGGAGGAUGAUGACAAUGAUGAUGACCGUGUUGAAGUUGAACACAAUCAACGUGGUGCUGCUGUUCGGGAGUUUUAUGUUAAUCUAAAUUAACAUUCUUUUUUAUUUUAAAGGUGAUAUGAGAUUACAGGGCCGGGGACAUAGACAAAACAAGUCUAUAAAAUGUGUGCUUAUUUACAUCUGAUAAAGACAAAACAAGUCUAUAAAAUGUGUGUUCACUUACAUCUUAUAAAAACAAAACAAGUCUAUAAAAUGUGUGUUCAUUUACAUCUGAAAAAGACAAAACAAGUCUAUAAAAUGUCUGAAUGAGACAUAGCUGAUUAAAUAUGUUUUGGGGCUGGGGGACAUAGCUGAUAUUAUAGCUUAAGGGCCAUGUGAUUUAGCUGAUUAUAUAGGUUCUUGGGCCGGGGGACAUAGCUGAUAUCAUAGGUUUUGGGGUUAUGGAACAUAGCUGAUAUUAUAGGUUUGGGGGCUGUCGUGCAUGUGUCGUCAGCAAUUACCUUGUUAACCGUCUAGAAGCCACAUUUAUUUUCAAUUACCAUAAAUCUUGGUCAGAAGAUUUGUAUGAGUGAACUCUCGGUCAAGUUUGAAACUGGGUGACCUCGGGUCAAAAACUAGGUCACCAGAUCAAAUUGAAGAAAAAAGCUUGUUAAAGCUCUAGAAGCCACAUUUAUAGCCCAAUUAGCAUACAUCUUGGUCAGAACAUUUUAUCGACUGAAAUCACAACAUUUUUUGUUUUAGUUUGACUUUGUAGCUCAACUAUUAUAUAUGAAAUAUAUAUACAUGUAGUUGAGCUAUAGCCUAUCCUACUCACCCUGGUGUUUGCAUCUGCUUGAGCGUUGGAAUGUUAAAGUUUGCGUACCACUUCAAAUAUUUUUUAUGUCCCUUGACAUAUUGCUUUUAUAUUUUGCAUACUUUUUUACCAACAUGACCCCAACCUGUAAACAUAAGCAGACAACUGUAUCAAGCAUUUUGUAAGAAUAAUUGCCCUUUUUUCACUUAGUUGAAUAUGACCUUGAAUUUUGAAUGACCUUGACUCAAGGUAAAAUUAAUAAAUCAAAGCUGAAUUAUGAUAAUGCACCUUUAAAAUUAAUGUUCACUAUAGCCACUCAAGAUGCUGUAAUGUUUAAUUUAGCGAAUUGUUUAAAUUGCCUUAUGCACAUCACUGCAUUAGUGUAAGGCGGUAGCUUUGAUGUAGAUUUCUGCUUCUAUUGGUAUCAGUUAAAAGUUGUUUUUUAUUGUUACACUAUAAUUGUAAAUGUAUUCAGUGUUCACUUUUUUAUUUCUAAAAUAUUGCUUUUAAUCAUAUAGAAUGUUUCUUCAAAUUUUUUUGUCUUGAUUGUACCUGUACAAUGUUUUCCAAAAUAACACUCAGAUUCAAACACUCAUAUAUACAUAAUACAAUAUGUAAACAUAAUAAAAAUGAACAGAACAAUUCAUACCUUAUUGCUCGUCUCAACAUUUUUUAUUGCAUUGCAUGAAACAUAAGACAUGUUUAUCACAUUUACCAACAAAAAUAAUAAUAAAAUGCAAUGCCCUGGAUUAAUAAAAAUUUUCAAAAGAUCAGUGGAUUUAUAUAUUUAUGCCCCCCUUCGAAGAAGAGGUGGUAUAUUGUUUUGCGCAUGUCGGUCCGUUGGUCCGUCCGUCCACCAUAUGGUUUCCGAACGAUAACUCAAGAACGCCUAGGCCUAGAAUAAUGAAAAUUCAUAGGUACAUUGAUCAUGACAGGCAGGUGACCCCUUUCGAUUUUCAGGUCACUAGGUCAAAGGUCACAGUGACUCACAACAGUAAAACGGUUUCCGGAUGAUAACUCAAGAAUGCUUACGCCUAGGAUCAUGAAUCUUCAUAUGUACAUUGAUCAAAUGCUAGAUCUGCAUCAUGAUUUUCUUUGCAAUUGGUAAUGUUUACAUUAUUACUACCUUCUCCUCCAAAACUGACAAAUGCAGUUUUUUGGGAAGAGCUGCCUCCCCAGAACUCUCCAUAAACCGCCGCCUCUUGACAUCCUUCAUGAUGGUCCGGCUCUAACAGGAAUAAAAGAUAAUGUGAAAUAAUUUAUUUAUAAAAUUAAUGCUCUCCCUCCUCUGAAUGGUAACAGUAUAGUAACAUGUCAUUUCCUUGCAACUACAUAAAAAAUUAUAUACUGAAGUACGUGCAUUCAAAUGCUAAUCAUUAUGAUUUUUUCAGUGAUUAUUCAACAAAAAAUGCAACGUGUCUAAUGCUUAUUGAAUGUAUUAAAAGUGUGAAAAGGGAAUAAAAAUGAAUGGUAAUGGUGGGUUUGAACUUAUACAUGUAUCCUGACACUUAUAUAACCGCGAUUCGACUAACAAAAACCUAGCCAAUCACUUGUAAGUUUAUUUUCUAUGUUGACUCACCUG